GAUCAGUGCGGUGACCACAUAACGAACUAUUCUUUUGUCUUUUGCUAAAGAAUACCGUGUGAUCGUUGCGGUUAUUUUUAGGGGUCCUCUAGUCUGAGGGGCACCUACAUCAAUUUUAGUUU